GACGAACGCUGGCGGCGUGCUUAACACAUGUAAGUCGAACGGUGAAGCCCUUCGGGGUGGAUCAGUGGCGAACGGGUGAGUAACACGUGGGAAAUCUGCCCUGCACUCUGGGACAAGCCUUGGAAACGAGGUCUAAUACCGGAUAUGACCUUCUCCUGCAUGGGGGUUGGUGGAAAGCUCCGGCGGUGCAGGAUGAUCCCGCGGCCUAUCAGCUUGUUGGUGGGGUAAUGGCCUGCCAAGGCGACGACGGGUAGCCGGCCUGAGAGGGCGACCGGCCACACUGGGACUGAGACACGGCCCAGACUCCUACGGGAGGCAGCAGUGGGGAAUAUUGCACAAUGGGCGGAAGCCUGAUGCAGCGACGCCGCGUGAGGGAUGACGGCCUUCGGGUUGUAAACCUCUUCCAGCAGGGAAGAAGCGCAAGUGACGGUACCUGCAGAAGAAGCACCGGCUAACUACGUGCCAGCCGCCGCUGUAAAAC
rnacentral:rRNA from 1 species